rnacentral:sRNA from 13 species
GUCAAUAACCUACCACUUAAUGAACACUUAAGGUGAGGGCUUGUAAAAACAGCCCUAAUUGACUAGACUAAGUAUUCAUGUACAACAUUGGAUAGGUCAACGCCUCCCUAGUUCCAAGCUUUGUC